AAUGCCUAGGAAUCUGCCUGGUAGUGGGGGAUAACGUUCGGAAACGGACGCUAAUACCGCAUACGUCCUACGGGAGAAAGCAGGGGACCUUCGGGCCUUGCGCUAUCAGAUGAGCCUAGGUCGGAUUAGCUAGUUGGUGAGGUAAUGGCUCACCAAGGCGACGAUCCGUAACUGGUCUGAGGGGAUGAUCAGUCACACUGGAACUGAGACACGGUCCAGACUCCUACGGGAGGCAGCAGUGGGGAAUAUUGGACAAUGGGCGAAAGCCUGAUCCAGCCAUGCCGCGUGUGUGAAGAAGGUCUUCGGAUUGUAAAGCACUUUAAGUUGGGAGGAAGGGUUGUAGAUUAAUACUCUGCAAUUUUGACGUUACCGACAGAAUAAGCACCGGCUAACUCUGUGCCAGCAGCCGCGGUAAUACAGAGGGUGCAAGCGUUAAUCGGAAUUACUGGGCGUAAAGCGCGCGUAGGUGGUUUGUUAAGUUGGAUGUGAAAUCCCCGGGCUCAACCUGGGAACUGCAUUCAAAACUGACUGACUAGAGUAUGGUAGAGGGUGGUGGAAUUUCCUGUGUAGCGGUGAAAUGCGUAGAUAUAGGAAGG
rnacentral:rRNA from 1 species